AGCAAGUCGUUUCUAGAACGCCAAGAGGGAAAACAAGGCAGAAAUAAAAAGGUCUAUUUCCCGUAGGACUUCGCUCUAGCCCUGAGUUAUUUCAUCCCCCAUCACUCCUGGGGGUACUGUCGUUCCGAAGUUCUGGAAGACCGACUUUCCACCCCGGAGGAAAAAUCAAGCCUGGCCAGGAGUGGUGGCCCUGAUUCCGGCUUCACUGAGAAAGUGAAAAACAUCCAACUCCAGCACCCUCUGCCACUCUUCUCAAAGCCAUGCAGCAUGUGGAAUCUUAGUUCCCCGACCAGGGAUCAAACCCAUGCCCCCUGCAUUGGAAGUGUGGAGUCUUAACCACUGGACUGCCAGGGAAGUCCCACCAGUAUGCGGGCCUCUCACUGUUGUGGCCUCUCCCGUUGCGGAGCACAGGCUCUGGACGCGCAGGCUCAGUGGCCAUGGCUCACGGGCCCAGCCGUUCCGCGGCACGUGGGAUCUUCCCGAACCGGGGCACGAACCCAUAUCCCCUGCAUCGGCAGGCGGACUCUCAACCACUGCGCCACCAGGGGAGCCCUUCACGAAUCAUUUUCUAAGUAAUGUCUAAUCUACAACAAAUCACAUCCAGUGUGUUUUUCAUCCUGGACAUUGUAGUUUUCAUCUCCGUAAGUUCAGUUUGGAUGUUCAGUUUGGAUCCUCAUGUCUCUACUUGACUUUCUGAACAUAUGGAAUACAGUUAUAAUAGCUGUUUUAAUUUAGUUGACUGCUUAUUCUAACAGCUGUGUCAGUUCUGGUUCAUUUUUGAUUGAUUUUUCUCCUCAUUAUGGGACAUAUUUUCCUGCUGCUUUGCAUGUCUGGCAAUCUAUGGGUGCCAGGCAUUGUUAAUUUCACCUUGUUGGGAGGUGGAUUUUUUAAAAAAUCAAUGUUUUA